UACCUUCUGCGCUGCUUCGCCUCCGUGGUCGGCCCGCGAGAGGGCGGCGCGGCGUUCCAGCACCUCCUCGGGAAGCUGGGCCGCGGCGGAGGGCGGCGGCGGCGGCGCCGUCGCUGCCACCGGAGUGGCCGGGUGGAGCAGCCGCGGUAGCAGCUCUUCCCGAAGAGGCGGCGGCGCGGGAGGAGGCGGGGCGCGGGGUGGCGGGAGGGGAAGGGGCAGCGGGCGGUGGCGAGGGUACCGGGGGUGACCUUUGGCCACCGCUUCCCACGGCUGUUCUUCUUUCCCCUCCUUCUCCUCCUCCUGAUGCCCUACCUACACCUGCUGUACCUGAUGGUCGGGCGCCGACACCACCGGCCCGGACACUCCUCCUUUCUCUUCUUCCCGUACCUAAAGUCGUCCACCGCUCUCAAGCAACGACUGCUACACGGGGGGUUCGCCUCCGUCCGCUUCUUUCUGUUGUGUUUCUUUUAACUAGUACACCAACUCCAAUGUUUACAUCAACCAGUCCACCCCCUCUCCCCUAACCCCCCUCUACCGUACCUCCACCUGUCGCCUUUACCAUCCCUUCGUAACCCGGGCUGCCCAAACCAAAGACUACACGACAGUUUCUUCGACUAAUUACGUCUCUUACCUAGCUACUUUCCACCCCGACCCCAACGACUUAACGCUCCUCUCCCAUACGUCGAGCUACUACCCCGCGGUAGCUAGCGUCGUCUCUAAUUGCGUCUCUUGUGUCGCUCCGACCGUCCCUACAGCCGUCUCCUCUAUCGCCUCCGCGUCCGUCUAUAAAACUUAUCCUACCUAGGUCGAGAUCACCUCCAUAACUCCGCAGCCCACUCCCUCUUCAGACCACCGUUCUUUCUACUCCCAUUCCUAUUUUCAUCCGUUUGAAGUCCCGGUUCCUUCUGACGUUUCCGAUAAGGUCCGCUCGUAAACUGACGACCACUCGUCUCACGUGUGAGAACCUUCCGUACCUCACUCUCUCACCUCGCCUAGUCCAGCACAUCCAAACGUAAUCUACCUCUAUAAGACCCUAAAGUUAGAAGAGUCCUCGUUAGUCUACCGUUCUUCUGGGUACCUCUUUCGCAUCGACUCGCACUGAAGGAUGCUUGUCUCCCUCUGGGACGACGACAACCAAUGUGUUAGUUACUCCGCAACCGUGAAUGGUCCUCGUACCAAGGACCUGUCGCACAUGAUCCUGACGUCGAAGAGCGAAGACAAGACUUAUCCCGUAACGUGUUGGACGUAUUCUACCUAGAUCGACUAUUACACCUUCCUCGAUUAAUACGGCUCUUUCGAAUACUAACCGUUCGUCAAACCCGGAUACGGGAACCGGGGCUUGGUCUCAACCAAGAAAGAGAUUCCUACCGUAACCUACUAUUGGUACUCAGACAUCAAAACUGAACGCGAUUUCAAUAAUUACAAUACAACUCGAUACUGUACUUACUCAGUAUAAAACUAAAAAGUCUCUUUAAUUAUUUAUUCUGCCUUCUAUAGACGUGUCGAGGACAAAAAGCAUCGUUUGGACUGCACCUACCUCCAAAAGAACUUCCCCCAAAAACCUUUAUGUUGUGUUUUGGUAGGUUAUAUGAAGGUGUGAUACCACUUCUACUUCUUCUUCUUCUUUCACUGCUCUUUGUGUGGUAAGUUCUACUACAAUAACACAGACCUGUCCUGCAACGACGACCAGAAUAAUCUUACCCUUAGGAUGGCGCAUAGACGAGGGAAAACCUCUACCUGGGCGGAGUUUAAGUUUUUCUAAUAGAGCAAAGUUAAGAACACCGUAAUCGGUCUGUGAGAGGCGUUAGACGACUACGGUAGAACUUAACAUGUUUCGAACAAGUUACACAACAGUUCGACAACCUGUCCGUUCCUAGUUUCCUUUAAGUGAGCAGUUACUAGUCUCCCCAAUGAAACAACUUCCAAAAUAGGUUUAUGUUGUCUGUUUGUACGAACUUAAAACACUUGUUACCUCAAAAAGUAGUCCGUUACACCGUCACCAUGAAUGGCCGAAUAUGGGAAUUCCUAACCUAUUUUGGACCUUUCCUUGUUACGUUCAACUCAAGUCGUUACUACCAGCUCGUUGACGCCAAAACCUCUUGGACAUAAAGAAUACCUAAAACGUAUAGUGUGAAGUGUCUAAAGAAAGGACAAGAUACGGACACCGAGUCGGGAGGUCACAAGGUCUUAGAUUCACUUGUGUUACAAGAAAGACUCAAAUCAAGUUAACGUUCUCUCAGCAAAGAACAUAAUCCUCGAGACCGUGUUUCCGACGGCGAAGAAGUAAGUCGCCUCGUCAAACCGUUCGUUCUAUACCCUCAAGGACCGUCAAUACCACUCUACACCAGAACCUCAGUACAUCAAGGUUACUAUUUAAGCCGCGACAGAACCAAUGUAGAUUCACUAUAAGGGAUGAACACAAGUGACUAGUUACCCGUCUCACUCUUAUGUUGUGUAUGUGACCUCGUUUCGACGGACCAAAACAACUAAAGAAGACAUGAUCCGUACGAAUUAAGCUGUAACCUUUCUUAUAGUGGUCUCCCGUGAGGACUAUCAUCUUCAAUGACGAACGGAACCUAUGGCCUGAAACAGGGGUUUUAACCGGACCCCUAUUAAUGAUUGCCCAAAAAGUCGAAGAGCACGUGACUUCAACAGCCCGUACUCCUCGUCGACGGCAGGGCACCACAUAGCAACCACGUCCCCGAAACAGUAGACUCUACGACCCCACUACAACUACGUAGUGAUAGAAGGUGUUCAACGGAAGUUUCUAAUCACGUCGAUUGGACAAGACAACUGUCUCACUAGGUCUCUCGCUGUUGUUUAUCAAGACUCGUAGAGUUUCUUAGAUUUCGUCCCGAUCGACCGUUCUAUAAUGUUCUUCCGUAAAGGUCAAAUACCGUAUUACUGAACAACUUGAAAGAUUGAAGCGACAACGGUAACUAAAGGAGUGUCACCGGACAUAAUUUCUUGUAUCUCUACAAACCAUCUCCUCCUGAUCGAGGACCACAACCCAAACCGACCCCCUGCACGCCCCCACCCAAAACCAGAGACUUUACGGAUGAACGUGUUGACCUAAGUGUCAACCAGGAUCUCAACUAUUUUUAAUAGAUACGACGCGGUCUUCCGGAACAAUGGGAGUCAUUUCCACGUUUGAGCCUAUUAAAUUGAUUAGGUAAGCGGUUGCGAAGUCUCUCUUAGUCAGGACAGGAACCACAUAGAAACUAACGGCCUGGACCGGUCUAGAGAUGGAACCUCUCUCGGAAACUAUAGGAGAAGGUUGGAAGUCAAGACUUUACAGAGUUUAGAAGGUAUGUAACAGACCGAAGAGUUUACUUUAAUGGUUUUUGAAAACUCACCCUGUAUUGACUCCUACUCAUAGUCGUAAAAUCGUCACACGAUUUAAGUGUAAAGUCUAGGUCUACCAACCGGUAGUUCUUCUUCUUAGGUCUGUUUGUACGUUCUUUGUUGUCACGGUAUUUAUUCGGUUUUCAUGGUCUUUACAACCUCUGCUAAGUUCUCCUUUACCUCAAUUGUCUUCAAUAUUUAGGGGGGACGUCGUGCAAUCAAGAUCUCACCCGUGUGGUCUCUGACGGAGAAGGACACGUAACCUAAGAUUCAAGUUAGACGACGUCACUACUACGACUGCAAAGUUCUCGACCAGAAUAGAAAAAUAACCCAGACCUUCGACAAAGUCGACGGGGUAGAGAACUACAAGGAAACCAAACCUUUUACGUACGUGAAAGACGGAGACAGGCGUGAUUGUACCUGAACGAAGUUCUUCUAUCUUCGUUCCUACAAAAACUCCGAAACGUUCUUAACAUACCGGUCGUAGACCUGUACAAUACAGUCUUUAUAAUAUCUAGAGUGAGACGAUUAUUACUACUCCAACAUCCUAGAUACCGGUGACGACUUCUUCAUUUUCAUUGAUCGUGAGUGCUUUAAGAGUCUAAGUUUCUCUUUUAAGUACUCUCGAUGUGAUGAAAACACCUCUCACAACAUCUAGUUAAACGUCGACAGAGUAUACCUCUACAAUAAAAACCAGCCGUUCACCGGUAAAUAAACGUAUCUUCACAACUCUGAUGCCAAGCCGACCGUCGGACCUUACGUAACAGAUGACGAAUACACGAACUUGACAACGGAGGUGAUCUGUUUACGUAACCACUGCAAUUUCCUAUGAACCUCGGAGAACUCCUACUGCUUCCUUAGAACCUCAGAAUGCGGUUUAGUACCUGUAGACCAUAGGACCUGUUCCGACGGGCCUCCCUAAGGUACAGCAAGUGUGAUCGCUUCGUAGUAGACAGACCAAAGUAAAAGGCCACACCACGAAGGCAGUUUCACGCGUUGUUCUACCAGUUCAGCGAGGAGGCCACGAUGAGGGUCUUCGUCGUGGUGCUCCGAUACGAGGUCCCAGAGCAAGACGUUCCGCAGGGUGCCCUAAGCGUCAUGCCGCUACUUCAACCGGCCUCCUAACUCUAGAACUUCCUACGGACACUCUACUUGAGAAGGGAGAACCGGCUCCAAGUUUCCGACUUCAGUAGCUAGCUCCCUCGAUAAUCAAUCCGAUUUUCCCCGUCGCCAGAACUCUUAUCGAGGUUCCUACAAAAUGACCCGUCAACACUGCUAACAUUUUUACCGCCACAGGUAAUGAUGUUCACUAAUAUCUUAGCGCUACUUGUUGCUGACCACAGCUUGCGAAACAUUCACACACACCAGCGCGUACGAACACCCUUUGUUUGACCUGACCUUUAUAAUUGGCCGAAGGUUCUUCUAGACGAAGGGGUGGGCCUAUACACGACCCAUUAAUGCUCAAAACGUAAAUGGGAUGCGUACAGCGAACCAAGCCAAAACAUUAGCGCCCACUUGGGCAGUCAACAAAAGACAUACAUUUUUACAAGCGCCUAGUUGCCACCGGCAAGAGGUGUUACCAGUCUGGUUUAAUUCAACACCACAACACAGUCACAGUGUACCGUCACAACAGCACUACAUUUAUUUAUUGCCGUUGUGGCGGUACUAUAG
rnacentral:rRNA from 1 species